rnacentral:rRNA from 1 species
GAUGAACGCUGGCGGCGUGCUUAACACAUGCAAGUCGAACGAAGCUGUUAAAAGGAAGUCUUCGGAUGGAAUUUUAACAGACUUAGUGGCGGACGGGUGAGUAACGCGUGGAUAACCUGCCUUAUACAGGGGGAUAACGGAGAGAAAUUUCCGCUAAGACCGCAUAAGACCACAGCACCGCAUGGUGCAGGGGUAAAAUAUUAAUAGGUAUAAGAUGGAUCCGCGUCCGAUUAGCUAGUUGGUGAGGUAGAGGCUCACCAAGGCGACGAUCGGUAGCCGGCCUGAGAGGGUGAACGGCCACAUUGGGACUGAGACACGGCCCAAACUCCUACGGGAGGCAGCAGUGGGGAAUAUUGGACAAUGGGGGAAACCCUGAUCCAGCGACGCCGCGUGAGUGAAGAAGUAUUUCGGUAUGUAAAGCUCUAUCAGCAGGGAAGAAAAUGACGGUACCUGACUAAGAAGCCCCGGCUAACUACGUG